rnacentral:rRNA from 1 species
GACGAACGCUGGCGGCGUGCUUAACACAUGCAAGUCGAACGGAAAGGCCUCUUUCGGGGGGUACUCGAGUGGCGAACGGGUGAGUAACACGUGAGUAACCUGCCCUUGACUUUGGGAUAACUUCAGGAAACUGGGGCUAAUACCGGAUAGGAGCUCCUGCUGCACGGUGGGGGUUGGAAAGUUUCGGCGGUUGGGGAUGGACUCGCGGCUUAUCAGCUUGUUGGUGGGGUAGUGGCUUACCAAGGCUUUGACGGGUAGCCGGCCUGAGAGGGUGACCGGCCACAUUGGGACUGAGAUACGGCCCAGACUCCUACGGGAGGCAGCAGUGGGGAAUAUUGCACAAUGGGUGGAAGCCUGAUGCAGCAACGCCGUGUGCGGGAUGACGGCCUUCGGGUUGUAAACCGCUUUCGCUCAUGACGAAGCUUUGUGUGACGGUAGUGGGUAAAGAAGCACCGGCUAACUACGUG